UACGAAGGGGGCUAGCGUUGCUCGGAAUUACUGGGCGUAAAGAGCGCGCAGGCGGUGCGAUCAGUCGAAUGUGAAAGCCCCCGGCUCAACUGGGGAGGGUCAUUCGAUACUGUCGGACUCGAAGGCAGGAGAGGGAAGCGGAAUUCCCGGUGUAGUGGUGAAAUGCGUAGAUAUCGGGAGGAACACCAGUGGCGAAGGCGGCUUCCUGGCCUGUUCUUGACGCUGAGGCGCGAAAGCUAGGGGAGCAAACGGG
rnacentral:rRNA from 1 species